UACAGAGGGUGCGAGCGUUGUCCGGAAUCACUGGGCGUAAAGGGCGCGUAGGCGGCCUGGUAAGUAGGGGGUGAAAUCUUGCGGCUCAACUGCAAGGCUGCCUCCUAAACUGCCGGGCUGGAGCACGGUAGAGGCAGAUGGAAUUCCCGGUGUAGCGGUGGAAUGCGUAGAGAUCGGGAAGAACAUCGGUGGCGAAGGCGGUCUGCUGGGCCGUUGCUGACGCUGAGGCGCGACAGCGUGGGGAGCAAACAGG
rnacentral:rRNA from 1 species